UAAGGACAAUAGGUACACUAAAAGUGUCAAGUCAAAAAAAUAAUAAAAAAACAAAAACAACCAACAACAACUAAGAAGGAAAAAAUACAUCAGAAAAAACCACAACAUAAACAACAAACAAAAAAACUAAAAGAGAGAAAACCGCACCAACCCUGCAGCAGAACGUCACCCCAAUAUGACCAAGCUAGAUCUCAGAUCUUUACAUCAGAAAAAACCACAACAUAAACAACAAACAAAAAAACUAAAAGAGAGAAAACCGCACCAACCCUGCAGCAGAACGUCACCCCAAUAUGACCAAGCUAGAUCUCAGAUCUCUAAACCACCGAAAGCAAAAAUUGGCAUAGAACAGGAGAGCCAAGCCAAGAAUCU
rnacentral:lncRNA from 1 species